rnacentral:lncRNA from 1 species
AUGCUCCCGCGUCACCACGGCCACCCUAGGAUCCGCGUCGUCUCCGACUUUGGGAAGGACGCGCUUCUCCUGGCACCUGGCAAUCUCGGCUGGCUUCCUGGUUGCCACGCCAACUGGGUCUGCACCGCUCUGGUGUCCCCUCCCUGUACGCGCUCCGAAGGGGUGCUCGGUGGGGGCCCCCGCAGCGGGGCCAGGUGGACACCCUGCCAUCCUGUGUGGGCUGCCCCUCGUGUUCCUGCCGUAAGUCACAGCCACGGGCAGCGCAGCGUGGAGUCCUUCCGGGCAGGGAAGCCGCAGCUGGGGAUGGGGAGGCUGGCCCCCAGGCUGUGUCCCCAAGGCCAGCUCCGCCCCCCACCCCCCUCAGCCGCUCGGGCUGCCCUGUCUGGUCCCUCCCAGGGCCUGUGUCACUGGAGCCAUCCACCCACACCCCUGCACGCACCCCUGCACACACCGUGCUCCCACAGUGCUCUCGGGGUGCCCGGCGGCCCCUUCCUCAUGGAUGCCUCCUGGGCAGCCCUGCUCCUCGGGGUUGGAGGCCCUGCAGGUCAGGGGUCACCAGGAUGGGGAGUUGGUGAUGCGCCGUCCCUGGGAAGGCCCCACUGUGUGUGGGGCCACCUUCCCAGAUGCCCUGCCCUCGGCCCACCCGCAGGCCACCGUCCCCAGGUCCAGCCUGCUGGAGCUUCUACCCCACGUGGAGCCUCGUACUCCCGAACAUCUGCUUUGUGGAAGCUUCCAGAAACAUGCAAGGGGGUUGGGAGGUCGGAGCCGCUUUGGAAAUGUGCGUUCUGUGUCCGAGCGCGAACAGUCCUCGGGUUUGCUCGGGGUCCGGCCGGCACCCGCCCUCCGCACCCGCUCCCACCCACAGGGCCUGGCCCACCUCCCCGGGCAGCACGCUGCGCACGUGGCGGAGGGAACCCGGGGACGUGGGCACAGCAGGCGACCACAUGCCCGCGCUCCUCAGAGCUCGGGGAUUCCCUAAUUACAGGAUUUAUUAUGAAAGCGCCAGCUUCCUCCGUGCCGGCUUCCUACAGCCGCGGAGACAAACUGCCGGCAGCCAGCGCCGGGGGAGGGGGCUGCGGGCGCCUGCCCAGAGAGGGGUUGCUUUGGGGCCCGCCGUGGGAAGGGGGCCGCAUUCCCACCCGAGGCACCCCAGCCAGGGGCUCGUGGGGUGGGAGCCCGUGUGGGACCCUCAGGCCCAGCCCUGGGUGCCUGCUCAGGCCCUGGGCAGACGCAGGAGGUGAGUCUGGGCGGGAGGAUGGCGGAGAGCAGACCCAUGCUGGGUCGGGGGCGUGCACGCGUGUUCACCGUGUGGCCGGAUGGGCCCGGAGGCGCCCGUGUCCUGUGGACGUGGGUGGUGUGGUGGGGGUGGUGCAGAGGUGGGCGCCGUUGGGGGGGUGUCCCCUGGGUGGUCGGAGAUGUCCUUCCACACACGGGAGCUGCUGGCCUGGGAUGACCGGUGGGGUCUGCACGGGGACGGGCCCCAGGAGGUCAUCUCACCGCUCACCUUCUUAG